UUUACACCUUUCGACUUCUUCAUCAGGUGAAGUCUAAGGCUGGAGAUUUGCAAAGUCAUUCUGUUGAUGACAUAGAAUACCAAACGACACUUGUAUAUGUUGUUGAUGUGAAACCUAAGGUGUGGUUGCCUGUGCGCCUUGUAGAGGGUAGACUCUGCACGGAGAUAAGAACAAACCUGUCAUGCAUACGCGAAGAAGCCGAGAAAGCAUUUCAGAGUGCAAAUUCUGUUACUAUAGAAGAUUGAUAUUUCUGGUGUUUCAGUCUGGUAGUUAUACUCUUACUAGUAAUUUUCGAUAUACAAGCCGUGAGUUAGUCGUGGAGCUCUUAAAUGGUGUUUUUCUUCCUGUUUUAUGCAAGUUUUCAUUCAAUGGUGUAGGAAUCAAUGAAUUGAGAAAUUGAUGAUGCCUCAGUCAUCAAGUUUUGUCUCCAAAUAGCUCCAGCAUCAGCUGCAGAGUUGGGUCAUUGCAAAAAAUAAGGGCAUGCAGUCGUUGUCUCGUUUUGCUUCGCCUACUAAGGGUUUCGAAGGAAGGAGCUCAGUACAUAAGAAGAAUGCAUUCCUGAACUCUCUUGACCAAUUUGACAGUGUUGCCUAUUGCAUCCUCUCAAAGUUUUACUUUUGUCAAUUUUUGGUUUCAGUCAUCUACAUUGAGAUACUAUGUUAGAAUAUGAAAUUUCAUUGUAAAUUCAUAUACAUAAAUGGAAAAGAGUGAACUUCAAAAA